AAGGGAGACCUAAUUCAGGUAUGAGACGAAAAAAAGUAGUCCCUACCAAGAAUCAAUCCCAAAAGGUCGGAGCGAGGCAAAAUUGGCUUUCAAACUAGGUUCUGGGUUCACAUAAGACCUGAAUCAGGAACAAGGGCUAUUAGCUCAGGUGGUUAGAGCGCACCCCUGAUAAGGGUGAGGUCCCUGGUUCGAGUCCAGGAUGGCCCACCUGCACAGGUGGCAAAAACAAAGAAAAGAAGCUCCGAAUCAGCACCUUAUCUUACUCAUAUAGUAAGAGAGAAUGCUGGCUCUGAGUUCAGAGUCCAGAGGAACCUUGAAAACUGCAUAGAGCUAGGUGAAAAAGCCAAAAAAGAAGACCGCAAGGUCAAGCUAAUAAGGGCUAACGGUGGAUACCUAGGCAC
rnacentral:tRNA from 1 species